UUCCCAACUAAGUGGAUCUGGAAUCUUUAAGGCAUUGACUAAGUCCAAGCUGUCAGACUCAAUUAUAAGGACUUCACGUCGUUUGGGAAAGAAGUGAGUUAGGGCUUCUAACAGAGCAAGGGACUCAACCAUCAGCGGGGACGACGUUGCCACUGUACGAGCUGCUCCGUCCAGCAACCUUCCGACGGAAUCACGGCAAACGCAGGUGACCGAAUCGUCCGAAGCUCCAGAUCUGCUUGAUUUGGGGUUCUAUAUGUUAAAACUCUUCAACCCAGCUAGAACAGCGUCGAUGAGGCUGAUUGUGUUGGGUUAUCUGUUCUUGAAGAUGGUUUGGUUGCGCGCCUUCCAUAUAUUCCAUAGUGUUGCAGCAACCAGCUCUAGAUUAGCACAGGGUUCGACCAAAUUUCCUUCGUCCAAGGACACAAUAAAAACAGGUGCUCCACAGUUUCCACUCCUCGAUUGCAUAAAGAGCAUGUGGGAUCAGGUAUAACUUUUCUUCGAAAUAAAUUCUCUUUAGUUGGGAGAGCAUUCUGGCAUAAAUUCCACAUGAAAAUUCUAACCUUGGAUGGAGAGUGUAAUUUCCAUAUAUCUGUCCAGAGGGUGGGAGGAGGUUGAAAAGAAGUUGAGGCUUGAUUUUCAUUCUGUUUAUUGGCUUUCUCUCGAACGUAGUUGUAUCCACUUUUAACUGUGUACUUGCCUGCUUGAGUUCCGGUCCAUACGAGCCGGUCUUUCUCUAUUUGGGGUUUAAUCGGGAUAGCAAGGAUUUCUCUCACUAAUUGAUCCUCAAAAUGUUCAGUUAAAACUGUUUCAUCCCAUAUGCCUUCCUCACUAAUAACGAGUUCAGAGACAAACCGUGGUUCAUUUCUAUUAGCAGGACCUCCUA